ACACAAAAAUGCACAUACUGUGAGCUCGAUGAGUAGGGCGGGACACGUGGUAUCCUGUCUGAAUAUGGGGGGACCAUCCUCCAAGGCUAAAUACUCCUGACUGACCGAUAGUGAACCAGUACCGUGAGGGAAAGGCGAAAAGAACCCCGGCGAGGGGAGUGAAAAAGAACCUGAAACCGUGUACGUACAAGCAGUGGGAGCACGCUUAGGCGUGUGACUGCGUACCUUUUGUAUAAUGGGUCAGCGACUUAUAUUCUGUAGCAAGGUUAACCGAAUAGGGGAGCCGAAGGGAAACCGAGUCUUAACUGGGCGUUAAGUUGCAGGGUAUAGACCCGAAACCCGGUGAUCUAGCCAUGGGCAGGUUGAAGGUUGGGUAACACUAACUGGAGGACCGAACCGACUAAUGUUGAAAAAUUAGCGGAUGACUUGUGGCUGGGGGUGAAAGGCCAAUCAAACCGGGAGAUAGCUGGUUCUCCCCGAAAGCUAUUUAGGUAGCGCCUCGUGAAUUCAUCUCCGGGGGUAGAGCACUGUUUCGGCAAGGGGGUCAUCCCGACUUACCAACCCGAUGCAAACUGCGAAUACCGGAGAAUGUUAUCACGGGAGACACACGGCGGGUGCUAACGUCCGUCGUGAAGAGGGAAACAACCCAGACCGCCAGCUAAGGUCCCAAAGUCAUGGUUAAGUGGGAAACGAUGUGGGAAGGCCCAGACAGCCAGGAUGUUGGCUUAGAAGCAGCCAUCAUUUAAAGAAAGCGUAAUAGCUCACUGGUCGAGUCGGCCUGCGCGGAAGAUGUAACGGGGCUAAACCAUGCACCGAAGCUGCGGCAGCGACGCUGAUGCGUUGUUGGGUAGGGGAGCGUUCUGUAAGCCUGUGAAGGUGUGCUGUGAGGCAUGCUGGAGGUAUCAGAAGUGCGAAUGCUGACAUAAGUAACGAUAAAGCGGGUGAAAAGCCCGCUCGCCGGAAGACCAAGGGUUCCUGUCCAACGUUAAUCGGGGCAGGGUGAGUCGACCCCUAAGGCGAGGCCGAAAGGCGUAGUCGAUGGGAAACAGGUUAAUAUUCCUGUACUUGGUGUUACUGCGAAGGGGGGACGGAGAAGGCUAUGUUGGCCGGGCGACGGUUGUCCCGGUUUAAGCGUGUAGGCUGGUUUUCCAGGCAAAUCCGGAAAAUCAAGGCUGAGGCGUGAUGACGAGGCACUACGGUGCUGAAGCAACAAAUGCCCUGCUUCCAGGAAAAGCCUCUAAGCAUCAGGUAACAUCAAAUCGUACCCCAAACCGACACAGGUGGUCAGGUAGAGAAUACCAAGGCGCUUGAGAGAACUCGGGUGAAGGAACUAGGCAAAAUGGUGCCGUAACUUCGGGAGAAGGCACGCUGAUAUGUAGGUGAAGUCCCUCGCGGAUGGAGCUGAAAUCAGUCGAAGAUACCAGCUGGCUGCAACUGUUUAUUAAAAACACAGCACUGUGCAAACACGAAAGUGGACGUAUACGGUGUGACGCCUGCCCGGUGCCGGAAGGUUAAUUGAUGGGGUCAGCGCAAGCGAAGCUCUUGAUCGAAGCCCCGGUAAACGGCGGCCGUAACUAUAACGGUCCUAAGGUAGCGAAAUUCCUUGUCGGGUAAGUUCCGACCUGCACGAAUGGCGUAAUGAUGGCCAGGCUGUCUCCACCCGAGACUCAGUGAAAUUGAACUCGCUGUGAAGAUGCAGUGUACCCGCGGCAAGACGGAAAGACCCCGUGAACCUUUACUAUAGCUUGACACUGAACAUUGAGCCUUGAUGUGUAGGAUAGGUGGGAGGCUUUGAAGUGUGGACGCCAGUCUGCAUGGAGCCGGCCUUGAAAUACCACCCUUUAAUGUUUGAUGUUCUAACGUUGACCCGUUAUCCGGGUUGCGGACAGUGUCUGGUGGGUAGUUUGACUGGGGCGGUCUCCUCCUAAAGAGUAACGGAGGAGCACGAAGGUUGGCUAAUCCUGGUCGGACAUCAGGAGGUUAGUGCAAUGGCAUAAGCCAGCUUGACUGCGAGCGUGACGGCGCGAGCAGGUGCGAAAGCAGGUCAUAGUGAUCCGGUGGUUCUGAAUGGAAGGGCCAUCGCUCAACGGAUAAAAGGUACUCCGGGGAUAACAGGCUGAUACCGCCCAAGAGUUCAUAUCGACGGCGGUGUUUGGCACCUCGAUGUCGGCUCAUCACAUCCUGGGGCUGAAGUAGGUCCCAAGGGUAUGGCUGUUCGCCAUUUAAAGUGGUACGCGAGCUGGGUUUAGAACGUCGUGAGACAGUUCGGUCCCUAUCUGCCGUGGGCGCUGGAGAACUGAGGGGGGCUGCUCCUAGUACGAGAGGACCGGAGUGGACGCAUCACUGGUGUUCGGGUUGUCAUGCCAAUGGCACUGCCCGGUAGCUAAAUGCGGAAGAGAUAAGUGCUGAAAGCAUCUAAGCACGAAACUUGCCCCGAGAUGAGUUCUCCCUGACUCCUUGAGAGUCCUGAAGGAACGUUGAAGACGACGACGUUGAUAGGCCGGGUGUGUAAGCGCAGCGAUGCGUUGAGCUAACCGGUACUAAUGAACCGUGAGG
rnacentral:rRNA from 1 species